UACAGAGGGUGCGAGCGUUAAUCGGAAUUACUGGGCGUAAAGGGCGCGUAGGCGGUUAAUUAAGUUGGAUGUGAAAUCCCCGGGCUUAACCUGGGAACUGCAUACAAAACUGGUUAACUGGAGUGCAGUAGAGGGUAGUGGAAUUUCCGGUGUAGCGGUGAAAUGCGUAGAUAUCGGAAGGAACACCAGUGGCGAAGGCGGCUACCUGGACUGACACUGACGCUGAGGCGCGAAGGCGUGGGGAGCAAACAGG
rnacentral:rRNA from 1 species